CAAUUUUCGAGAUGCAAGCCAUGAGUCGGAACAUUAUCAACGACCCUCCAAAAACUGUGAAAAGUAUCAGAACACAGAUCAAACACUCGAACCUCGCAAUUUGCAAAGGUCCAGUGUGCUACAUCCUCUUCUCCAAGCUUAAAGGAUAAUAAUUUUAUUCUUAUAUGGAGAUAUUAUAUUAUAAAUAUAUAAUUAUUUAUUAAUACCCUUAAAUAUAUAACUAGUUUACAUUAUGUUACAUAUUUAUUAUAUAAUAUAAUUUUAAAUAUAAUUAAUUUUUAGAUAUAAAUUAUUAUAAUAAGGUAGUAUAUUAUAGUAAUUGUUAUAUAUAAAUAAUAUUACAUAAUCAAAAUAUAUAUUGAAUAAUUUUUAUUUAUUUAUUUAUUUUUCUUUCAACCAAAAAACUGUAAUGAAAAGCUAGUUUUCUUUUUCCCACAAGCCAAAUACUAAAAACAUAAAAUUUAUUUUUUUUCGAAAAUUUUUUUUCUACUGAAAAUUUGCUUUCACAUUUUUAUGUAGAACCAAACAGCCCCUUAACUAGGGUAAACAAUUCGGGUCAGAAUUUAGACAUUCAU
rnacentral:lncRNA from 1 species